GGCGGAGGCGGCUCAGAGACACUCAGCGCAGAGACACGGAGGAGGAGAGAGAUCGGUGAGACCGGGGGAAAUACCGGAGAGAGGGAGUGAGAGCUUGCAGGGAACACACCGGGGCCCGCGGCCGUGCAUGCACCCGGAGAAGCCGCCAGCAGGACAGCCCGGGGAGCGGCGGACAGACCCCUGGAUACAGUGACAGCGCUCCGGGACUCCCAGCCAGCCAGCCACCCCGGGGCUCACCGCACGGCCCGCACCGGGAACCGGCUCACCGCCAGCCCGCACCCCCCGGGGGAAACAGCGCUUACCAAGGCCCCGCGGACAGCCCGGCCCCGGGAUGAUGUGACCAUGCUUACCGUGAGCGGAGCCGGAGCAGCCAUGAGUGGCCGAGAGCAGCCGGAGCCGGCGGGGAGCGGUCAGUGUCCAGUCACCGGGGAGACAGACAGGGAGGGAGGGGGGGUGGAGGUUACUGGGCACCGUGUGUCUGUGUGUGAUUCAUUACAGCCAGCCCGCCAGCCAGCCCGGGCACUGCCAGCACUGCGCUCUCACCACCACACUGCCUGCCCGGGCUGCUGGCUGGGAGUCCUGGGAGGGGUAGCUCUCAGAUACCUGGGGUGUCAAGGUUAGCUGUGAGUGAAUGCUGGCUGCACACAGGGUCAGUGUGAGUAUAAAUAGACUGAGAACAGGAUGCAUUGCAAUCACACACUCACUGAGACUACCCACAGGGCUUUUAUUGUCAGCAUCGCCUGCCUGUCUCACUGUACAAACACCGGCAAUUAAGAUAAAUAUAUAACAGGGGACGGCUUGUGGGUUUUUUUUUUUUUUUUUAAACAUUUAUAAAAAAUGUUUUAUCCUAUAAGGACCAAUUUGAGGUAGUCUCCUACUCUCUCUUGAUACCCUGGAGACUGUCUCAUUCAGACUGUAUAAGUAGGAUGUCUCCACGCUCAGUAACCGUCUCUUAUUUCCUCUCCGUCCCCCUCUAAUUCCCCAAUCUCUACCUGUCUGCUCCCAGUGUGUCUCUGCCUCCCAUCCCUCUUUCUAUAAACCCCAGGUGACUGUCUCACAGAGAUAUCGACCAAUCUGUAUAGCAUGUCUGUAGCAGUCACUCGCUAAUCCCCAUUUCCUCUCAGGCUUUCAGUCUUUAAACCUGUCUCUACCUCUGUAUGUGUGUAUGUAUGUGUGAUUUUAUGUCCUAUGUUCUCUUUAAGCGUAUAUCGCUGUGAUCUGCUUCUCCAAGAUAUCUGGAUGCCAGUUUUCUGAUCUGUUUUCACAUAUAAAUCUAUAGGUGCCUAGGGCUUUCUGAAAUGGUCACACAGGCCUCUGCUUUUAUCACACUGACUUCUUAAGUGUCAAGGCCUCCAUGCAUGUAACUCAUUGUACAUGCGGCUUUACAUGUUUAUUACGGUAUAGUAGUAUAUAUGUCUAUUGUAGUUUUUUAUAUUAUUGCAAAUCUAUCCAGGUGCAAACAUUUUUCAGAAUCCGUAUUGGAUGCUAAUAUUUCCUCAUUUACUGUCUCUUACACUUCAAUGUAUGUUCAGUUGUGUGUACCAACGCUAAAUACAUUUUGUUUUUACAUUCACAGACCUUGACAUUAUCAUUUCUAUGUGUAUAUAUACCAAACACACACACACACACACCAAUUGGGGGUUGUAGAUGUAGGCUACAAAACAUUGUUUCGCCUAUGCGGAACACUAAAUCCCCUCAUAGGCAAUUCAGAUUAACAUCAAACCUUAUCUUCUUCCAUUUCUCUUCUGUAUCUGUUUCAUGUGGUCUCUUUUCAGGUAGCUUCCUCUUUUAAUCUCUUGUAGAAUCCAGUUUCCUAAAAGUUUGUGUCUUUCAAAUUAAAAUGGCCACCUCAUCAUUUAGAUUCUUCCUUAAUAGCAUGUAUAAUUUUAUUUCAGUAAAGUUUUUACGUGCGUUAAAAUCUGCCAAAGAACUUGGCUCAUUCUCCCUUGCUUCUCUUCCUCCCUUCCCCCUCUCCUCUAAUUAAAAGGUGCCAUUAUACCCUGAGAGGUGGGAGGAAGAAGGGAGGAUCAGGGGACAUAUGUCCCAGCUCAGGUGACAUUCAUUGUAUGUGUCCCUCUCACUUCCUCUGCUCAUAGGAGCGUGUUGAGGAUGGGUUAAAGAACCUAGAUCAUUCUAUAAUGCUCUUGCUGUGGACUCUUUGUAGUCCUUACAAUGUUAUGUGUAUAACUGGAAAACAUUAAUUCCCCUUUAAAUUUAAACACAUUUUAAUGCAAUAAAUUGCGUGACAUUUAUUCAGUUUUGUUCAAUUCAUUUACAAUGUUCUGAAGUUUACCCAUUUUCCCUCUAUUGAAAAUGCAACCCUAUAUAUAAUUUCUUUUUUAAGUGUGAGUGUUUUUAUAUCACAGGCAAAAACAAUGACACUCUGGGUCUUUGCAGCCAAUCAGUACUAAGGGGAGGUGGCUGGGAGACUAUCACGCACAUAUAUACAUAUUUACAUACACACUCUGUCUGGAGCAGCCUGUGGAGGCACAUAGGCAAGAACAAGGCAGGUUAGAAGUGUGUAUAAAUGUAUAUUAUGUGUAAUUUAUGUCGUGGCAUAUCUUUUAUAUACAUGCAAAUGUUUUAGUUAUUCUUUUGUGUUUGUGUAUAUUUUAAAACCAUUUUUUCUUCUAUAGGAAUUUGUCAUAAAACGUUUUCUGUGUCAUAGCCUUGCAAAUCAGUGACAGUUGUUAUAGAACCAUAUAAUCUUUUGAAGUUAAUAUGGCUUUGGUGUUACAUAUCUAAAAAUGUACAAAAGUCACUCGCUUUUUAAAUGAUUUAUAGUUUAUUUUUAGCUUUAUAUGGUGGAUAUGUUUUUUGUCUUUAAUUUAACAAAUGAUUUUGGAGCUACUCUAGCCAUACAAGAAUGAUCUAUAAUUAUUUUCUCAACUCAAGUUAACCCAGGGAGACCUUGCUCAGCUAUGCAGUAAUUCAUAUUGGUUGAUUUAGGGUUGAAUUGAAGGGGAUCCCCGUUCUUGUCAGCAGAUGUUGCCUACAUAAUUUUACUUUAGAGACACCAUGCUUAAAGCUGUGUUAAUGGAAAUGAUUCCCAACAUUAUGAGACGGAAAAAGUUGCAUAGAUUAUAAUGUCCGUUCUGGUGCAAACACUGUUAGCAGAUUUUUAAACUAGAAUCAAGUCUAAAUUCAUGGUAUGUUUGAUGGUUGCUUGUUUAAGUGCCCUGUAGAGGAAACAAAGUAUUUUGUAGGUACAAAUGUAAAGGUUAAAUUAGUGAAUAUAUUUUGCUAUUUUGAAUUUUAUUUGAUAAACAAAAUAAUUCAGUACUGUUCAUAAUACAGGAUUGUGCAUAAAAACUGCACUGCCUUACUAUUAAAUAAUGGGACUCAUCUCCCACAAUCUACACAUGCAUUUUUGCAUGUCAGUUUUUCUUUGCACUCCCAGGACAACUCAUGGAGUGGCAUCUUCUAUUUUGCUGUGCGUUUGCACUUCUCAAUCUGUUUCCUGUCUUGUGCUGUUAUUUAGGUUAACCAAGUCUGUCAAUCUAGGGUUAAUCGACAUCCAGUUUUCCUGCUAAGGUGGAACUGCAUGCCUCAUGAUGCCCAGCAAUCCUUGAAAAAGAAAAAGGGAGUGUCUGUGUCCGUCUGAAUUAUGGCAACUGUAGUUCCAUGACAACUGUAGAAUUGUAUGUUGGCUAACCAUGAUAUGUUGAAUGUUUUUUAUUCUAAUGGCAUAGCUCAUUUAGCGUGCUAAUAUAUUUUAAGACAGGGUUGCAAGUUCAAUUAAAAACUGAAUGUAUCUCUAUUAGUUUAUUUUUAUUAUUUUUUUUCAUCUAAAUGUUUUGUCCUAUCCUUGCGUGUCUAUUGUGACACUUUUUUUUGGCCUAUCCUUGUUUGUGCUGUUCUGCUAAUUCUGCACUUCCUUCAGGGUCUCACUUCACUACUUGCUUGCUAUCCUGGACUGUUGGCGCAUUAUUGCUCUGUUCAUUUUUCUAAUUUUACAACUUAAUCUCUUUUUUGGGGGUCUGUCCAUGUGUCCCACUUUUCCCCCACUUCUCUAUCCCUACUUCGCUAUCCAUUAUCUCCCUCUUGCAGCCUUUCUACCCUUUCUUCUCCUCCUCCCCCUUCUUGCUUUGGAACACACAGCCUUCUGCAUCCCCCAUUUUUAUCCUUCCACAAAGUUACAUGACCCUUGACUAUGGCUUGGCCAGCCUUCCUGCUUUGGAUUGUGAUCCCUUGUUUUUCCUACAGCCUGUUUCAGAGUGGAAAAGAGUCUGUGUAUCUAUGAAGUGGUUAUUGGGGGGGGAGAUUUUGGCAGUGUUUGUAUUUUUAUUUCCCCUCUGUCUUGGAUUUUCCACCCUGGAUCAAACCCUUCCCACUAACUGCUUUAUGUAUGAAAAACAGCUGGACUGUGACUUGACUUAGUGAUAUGUUUUAAAUGUUAAGUCAGGUAUUACAUUUUCAAAAUUUUAGGAGGUAGUGUUUGUUAGGGUUUGAAAGGUUUGUGGCAUUUCUUGCAUAUUUUAUAUGAUGACGUUUCAAUUGGUGAAAGUGAUCGGUCAGUCUGUUUUUUAGUGUCUUUUGGAAGUGAUGGUUGCUGGUGGUAUUGUUGUAAAAAAUGACAACUAUAGUCAAUUGAGGUGUUAGUGUUCCAUGUAACCAAAGUGAAAUGGGAUCUGUUUUCCAUUUUUGUGCUCAGUCAUUGCCCAUCUUUUUUCAUGUUUGUGUGUAUUUUAUAUUAACUAAUUGUCAAAAUAAUGAUGCAUUGCAUUCAAAAUCUUUUGAUGCCUACAUCUGAAACGUGUAGUAGAUAUGAACAGAUUGUGCGCUAGUAAUGUAUUUUGUUCAUGCCCAGUGUAUGUCAUGUGAAAUACAUGUACAAGGACAAUCUGUAUUCAUUGUGAGUCAUUAAAUAGCGCCACUGCCUAACAAUAGUUUUUCCACAUGUUUUAACAAUAGUACGGUAUGUGGGCUUGUACCCAGAGAUUCUUUGAAAUUUGCACUGUUGCAUGUUUAAAAUAAAAAUAGGUAAACAAUAUAGAUCAUUAGCACAAAUGUGUGUAGUUGUGUGUUUUAUACUUGGUUCCUGUUAAAUAUAUCCCUUGCAGUCUUCCAGCCCUGUAUGUCCCUGAUGUUUGCAUACAAAAUACUGGCUGUAGUUUCUAUAGCAACAGUCUGUGGCCAAAGACAGCCUGUCAAACUUAAAUAUUUUUAAACAUUUUGUUACAUUAUUGUAUACAAAGUGUAACAGAGUGCCAAGGUUUUUGUUCCUUUACAUAAUUUGUGAAUGAUCAAUUUAAAAUAUCCAAAUUCUUACACAAGGAUGGGAAUAGUCAUAGAAAUCUGGAAAAAAAAUGAAAUCCAUCUAGUGGUAUCAAUAUGGAAUUUCUGUUCUACUACAAGUCAACAGUUUAUAGGAGAAGAGUAGCAUUAUUACCAAUACCUAGAUUUAAAUUAUUCAUAUAUAUUAUUUUUUCUUUUUAACCUUUUACCUCCCCAACCAACUGGUGAGACAUUGAGACAAGAGUAUGCAGUUACCUGUUUCAGGGACACCCAGCUUGUUCAGAGAAUUGAUGAGGUUUCAAAUGAUCAGUGUCCUAUAAAAGAUACUUUUAGUUAUGCGUUUUAGCCUGUAGACGUAGUGUAAUCAGCAAUUAACUUUUCAACUGUGGUGAAACUAAAAGUUCCCUGAUGCACAGCAAAUGUACUAAGAAGGAAGUAGUUGGGGGGGGAAUUAUUGAUUUUAUAAAACAUUUUAUUUGCUUGUCUCGGUGUAUAUUUUUUGCUAGCCAUAUUUAUAUUUUAAUAUAAAGGAUCUGACAUAAUUUUCCUCGGUCUAUAACAAUAGUGGAUAUUCUAUACAAUGUUUAUUCAGAGAGAAAUUCACUGUAUUAGAAACAAAGAUAUCACACACAGGUCAUCCAAGUGCAGACUUCUAGUAAAACAGUAUGACAGCGUUUUGGCUAUGCAUUAUUUGAACUGUGGUUUGAGAAAGGCUUAAAUGUAUAUUAUUAUUUAUCAAUCACCAACAAAUUCUGCAGUGCUGUACAAUGGAUAUAUAGCCAAAAUGUUGCCACUCCGUUUUAUAUAAGUCUGCACUAGAAUGACAUCUUUGUUUAUACUAUAUGGAAAGGAAUCUAGGCACCACUGGAAAAGUCCUUCAAAAUGCAUGUGCAAUUCUCCCACCAUACACUGUAUGUCGUGGCGUUUUAUUGUAAUAUGUAAACUCAGUUGGCCAGAACAGUGUCACACAAGCUGUUUUCACUUGACUUGGUACUAAUGAGUGUCUGCUUGGAGUGUGAGUUUGUAUCUGUGUCAGUGGAAGUUGGGCAAUGCCCUGUGUUAAAGAGUGUGUCUCUGGGUGGAUGCAACAGUUAUUCACUCAGCUUACCUCACACUUCCCUUUACUUCCUGUCAAAAUGUGACCCCACUCAUUCUGGUAAAAACGGCUCUUUAUUUAAACCUGUCCUUCAGGGCAAAAGGUCUUUUUUCUGACUUAAAAAAAAUCUAAGUGAGAAAUCCCCAGGAGUCAGGAAGCAUAGGUUCCCAAAAUAACUCCCAAGACUUCUAGAAAUUUCUGUCUUAUGAGAAGUUUGUAUAGUUAUAGUGAAAGUGUGUGUGUGUGUGUGUGUGUGUGUGUAUAUAUAUAUAUAUAUAUAUAUAUAUAUAUAUAUAUAUAUAUAUAUAUAUAUCUCUGUCCAUUUUACUCAUAUUGGUUAUUUUAAUGAUCUGUAAAGUAUAAACGUGUCUGUACAUGCUUUUAUAUGUAUUUUACUACCAAAAAAUGAGUUGCAGGGACUUUUCUAGGGAUCGACCAAUAUUAAUUUUUAAGUGUCGAUACAGAUAGGGAUUAUUGGUGAUCUUGCACAUUGUAGAGGGGGCAGCUGAAACCCAGGACACUCUGUCUUCUGACAUACUGCGCGGAGCAUCGCCGUGGUAACAGACUGCAGCGGUUUGACAGUCGUGGCUUGCAAGUGUUGGAAAGAAGACCUGCCGGAAACCAAAAGAUAGGGUGUUAUGGGUCCCAACUGCCCCCUCUACAUUGGAAGUGACACCAGAGUCGGGCAGCCUCAACCUCCUUCCAGUAUCUGCAAUAUAUCAGUAUCAUUUACACAAAUACCGAUAUUUGCCGGAUGGGGGGUGGGGGGGUUAGCUUAGGGGUUAAACUGUUUGAGAAUGGUUUACUCUUGAGGGUGUCUCCUGACACUAUAACAUAAUUUUAGACUAAUUUGUUUUUGUGCCUGGAGUGUCCCUUUAACCUGGCCUUUCUUGGCCCAUUACGGAGGCGUAUUGGGUUAAUUAACUUUCAUUUGUUGGAUUACAGACUGGAUGGACUUUUAUGGUUUAAAUCAGAUGCAAAAAUGAAUAUGGUAUAUCAAGAAUAGUGUGUGUAAGUUAGAAUAUCCAAUGUGCCCAUAAAUGAUACUGAGUUAUACAUUAAACACAUACUGACUUUAGUAAUGCUAGAUUCAUUUUUGUAAUAAUUUGCCGUUAAUAAACCUUAAGUUUUAGCUUUGGACAGCUAUAGAUCACUAGGUUGCAUUU
rnacentral:lncRNA from 1 species